AGAGUUUGAUCCUGGCUCAGAACGAACGCUGGCGGAAGGCUUAACACAUGCAAGUCGAGCGCAUCCUUCGGGAUGAGCGGCAGACGGGUGAGUAACGCGUGGGAACGUGCCCUUUGGUUCGGAAUAGCCCUUGGAAACGAGGAGUAAUGCCGAAUAAGCCCUACGGGGGAAAGAUUUAUCGCCGAAGGAUCGGCCCGCGUUAGAUUAGGUAGUUGGUGAGGUAAAGGCUCACCAAGCCGACGAUCUAUAGCUGGUUUGAGAGGAUGAUCAGCCACACUGGGACUGAGACACGGCCCAGACUCCUACGGGAGGCAGCAGUGGGGAAUCUUGGACAAUGGGCGAAAGCCUGAUCCAGCCAUUCCGCGUGGAUGACGAAGGCCUUAGGGUUGUAAAAUCCUUUCAGCAGGGAAGAUAAUGACGGUACCUGCAGAAGAAGCCCCGGCUAACUCCGUGCCAGCAGCCGCGGUAAUACGGAGGGGGCUAGCGUUGUUCGGAAUUACUGGGCGUAAAGCGCGCGUAGGCGGAUCAGUCAGUCAGAGGUGAAAUCCCGGCGCUCAACGUCGGAACUGCCUUUGAUACUGCUGAUCUGGAGUUCACGAGAGGUGUGUGGAAUUCCGA
rnacentral:rRNA from 1 species